rnacentral:rRNA from 1 species
UACGUAGGGGGCAAGCGUUGUCCGGAAUCAUUGGGCGUAAAGCGCGCGUAGGCGGCCCGGUAAGUCCGCUGUAAAAGUCCAGGGCUCAACCCUGGAAAGCCGGUGGAUACUGUCGGGCUAGAGUCCGGAAGAGGAGAGUGGAAUUCCUGGUGUAGCGGUGAAAUGCGCAGAUAUCAGGAAGAACACCUAUGGCGAAGGCAGCUCUCUGGGACGGUACUGACGCUGAGACGCGAAAGCGUGGGGAGCGAACAGG